UACAGAGGCCUCAAGCGUUGUUCGGAUUCAUUGGGCGUAAAGGGUGCGUAGGCGGCGCGGUAAGUCGGGUGUGAAAUUUCGGAGCUUAACUCCGAAACUGCAUUCGAUACUGCGGUGCUUGAGGACUGGAGAGGAGACUGGAAUUCAUGGUGUAGCAGUGAAAUGCGUAGAGAUCAUGAGGAAGACCAGUGGCGAAGGCGGGUCUCUGGACAGUUCCUGACACUGAGACACGAAGGCCAGGGGAGCAAACGGG
rnacentral:rRNA from 1 species